CCUUGUUCCGAGAAGUUGCCUUUAAGAUUCUUCGCAGAGACCUCUCAGCUUGUCCGGCUGCCGCUGUCUGAGGCACCAUGGAGACAAGUUUCAUUCUCAGCCUUUGGGUCUUUAACCAACUAGGUGCGGUGCUGGGUGACUCGGUCCGGUCCCAUGAACCCGAGGUGUCCAGGUCAGAAGGUGGCUCCGUGACCCUCACCUGUUCUUAUGAAACUAGCUACACUGCUAGUGUCUAUCUCUACUGGUACCGUCAGUAUCCGAACCGAGCCCCGCAGUACAUCCUGCGGAGGGGAGCAAAAGGGAGCACGUUCAGUGAUACCGCAGGUUUCGCCAAGAAGAGGUUUUCUUCGCAGGCUGAUGACAGCGCCACAGUUUUGAACAUCACAGCCCUGGAGCUGGCAGACACAGCGGUGUAUCUCUGCGCCCUGAGUCUGGCACAGUGACAGAGCCACAUAGGAGAGCUGCACAAAAACCCUCCCAGCCCUGCUGCAGGGGAUGGUACAGGCAUUAAAACGGGCAGCAGCGCCUUGAGAGUGCUGACGC